GAAGAAGAAGAAGAAGAAGAACAAAGACACCCUUUGAAUAUUGUAUUCAUUCUACGCUUUUUUGUGCUGUUGGUUGUUAUUGUGGUCAACUUAUUCUAGAGUUGAAUUAUAUAUGUGUUUUCUUUUAUAGGAUGCUGGCCUUAAACAGGUAAAUUUUGGAGUGAAUCAAAUGGAAACCCUUGGGAUAUAUUUUCUGGUCAUUGGUAAUAAAAUAUAUACAAGGUCACAGACAUUAAGAAAUGUGAUCCAGGACAACUUGGAAAUUACAAUUUAGGGCUUUCUCUCUUUUAUAUAUUGGUUUGAAAGCUAGUAUAGGUAGGAAAUUGUGUGGGUCAUUUAAGGGGAAUGAGCAGGGAUCACAGUUUGAAGUGCAAAACAACAACUUGAAAGUAAUUGAGGUUUCUCUGGAGCUAUUUGAUAGCAAAGAAAAAUUAGAGUAUGGAAUUUUAGAUGUUUGAAGGCAAGAAUUCAGAAUAGAAUUAUGUCAAAAUGUGCACGCAAACUUGAAGAAAAAUAAUAAGAUCCUAAACUUCAAAUUUAGAAGUCUUUAGGCUGCACACUCAAGGUUUGAUAGGCAUUAAAUUCAGGGUUGAAUUGCAACAUACAAUCAAACAAGAAAAAUAGUUGGAAAUUUUCUCUUCCCAUAAAACAUUACAAACAUGUUUAUUCAUGGACUAAAAUGAACCAAACCAUUGCUUCGUCUGUUUGUUCUUCCAUUAUGAUAAAAGUGUUUCUUAUUUUCAUCACAAAUUGCUGCCCUGUCUUUUAUGGAUCAUAGGGUCAUUCUCCUGGGAACAUAUCCCCUUUCCCUUCGACAAGAAGUGACUUGUUCCCACUCACAUUAUUUCUGAUUUGUUAUGUCAUUUUAACUGCAUUGAGAUGUUGGAGCAAUUAACUUUUCAGUGAAUUGACAAAGUGUGAGGCCUAUAUUGGCAGCAAUCCUAAAUUUUGACAAACAGCUACAUGUAUGUUAUAACAACAUGCAACUCAUGAUUACUCUUGCAAUUAUCCAUUAUGAACAUGUCUUGAUCACUCUGGCUGCAGUUUUUUUUUUUUUGUCAUAUGCAAAUCAUAUUCAUCUCUAGUCUAACCUGAUCUGCUAGCAUCCCCUAUAUUAUCAUGCUUUUGUCAGAGGCGCAAUGGGGAUCCACUUCGUGUCUAUAUGGAUCUUGAGGCUGGCAGGAAAAGAUCAGGUCUUGAGGAUAUAUUUAUUAGUUAUCAUGCAGAAGAUGAUGUUCAGUCGACUUAUGCUGGUGCACUCUUUCAUAAUGGUCGAAACUAUCAUGUGUCCCGUCGUAAGAACAAUGACACACUUGUUUAUUGGUCUUCAUCACGUUGUCUUGCGCAAAGAAACCAGUUGGCUAAAAGUUUCCUCAGCUUAAUACCACACCAUUCAUUUGGGAAGUGCUUGAACAAUGUUGGUGGACUGGAUAUGGCUCUCUCUCUGUAUCCUGAGUGUGCCAAUGAUGCCAGCGUUAAGCCAAAAUGGUGGGAUCAUCUGCAUUGUGCGAUGUCUCACUACAAAUUUGUGCUUGCGAUUGAAAAUACUGCAAUGGAGAGUUAUGUGACUGAAAAGCUAUUUUAUGCCCUGGACUCUGGUGCAGUUCCAAUAUAUUUCGGUGCACCAAAUGUGCACGAUUUUGUUCCUCCACAUUCAAUAAUAGAUGGGACGAAAUUCAGCUCCAUGCAAGAACUGGCUUCUUAUGUCAAGACCCUUGCUAAUGAUCCUGUAGCCUAUGCAGAAUACCACGCAUGGAGAAGAUGUGGCGUUUUGGGCAACUAUGGAAAGACUCGUGCAGUUAGCCUUGACACGUUGCCUUGCCGAUUGUGUGAAGCUGUUGGUAGAAAAGGAGGUAGAAAUGCAAGAGCUUAGUGGAAUUUUCUGGAUAUAUAUUCCAUCUGGGUAAGCUGGCUGGCCACAUGAUUCCAAGAUUUUGCUAAUUGGGUGGGCUUACUGCUAGGUUUAUACAGUCAAGAAUGUCAUGUUGUAUAAAGUGAAGAUUCUAAUUGUGUAAAAUUGAGAAAUUCAGAUAGUAAUCUAAACCCCAUCCUAAGCCCACAUUUUUGUUGAUUUAUUUUCCAA
rnacentral:misc_RNA from 1 species